rnacentral:rRNA from 1 species
AUUGAACGCUGGCGGCGUGCUUAACACAUGCAAGUCGAUCGGUAACAGGUGUAGCAAUACAUGCUGACGAGAGGCGGACGGGUGAGGAAUAUUUGGGAAUCUGCCCAUCAGCGGGGGACAACCCGGGGAAACCCGGGCUAAUACCGCAUACGCUCUACGGAGGAAAGCCGGGGACCGCAAGGCCUGGCACUGAUGGAUGAGCCCAAAUCGGAUUAGCUAGUUGGCGGGGUAACGGCCCACCAAGGCGACGAUCCGUAGCUGGUCUGAGAGGACGAUCAGCCACACCGGAACUGGGACCCGGUCCGGACUCCUACGGGAGGCAGCAGUGGGGAAUAUUGGACAAUGGGGGAAACCCUGAUCCAGCGACGCCGCGUGGGUGAAGAAGGCCUGCGGGUUGUAAAGCCCUUUCGGUAGGGACGAAAGCUCUUGCUCUAAUAAUGCAGGAGGUUGACUUAACCUACAUAAGAAGCACCGGCUAACUCUGUGCCAGCAGCCGCCGUAACAC